UGAAGUUACAAACGGAACAGAUGAAAAAAAAAUUACAAAACGCAAUAAAGCAGAAGUGAGUAUAUUGCCACCAAGUUUUAAUUGUUUUACAAAUUAAGAUCUGUUCUAGCCCGUAAGUGCUGAAAGUAAGGAGGAACCUAAGGCAGAGAAAACUAAGGGUAAAACUGCCAAGAAGGCAGACAGUGGAAAUAAAGAAGAAACCCAAGUGGAAGAAGCGAAAAAACCUCAAACACGCACAGGUCUUGCUACUAAGAGAGAGUUUGUACAAAGUACAAAGGGGCCUAAAAAUUCGACAGUAACUAAUUGGGAAAAUAUAAAUUUCAAAUGCACUACGAAAUCCCCGAAAGGAAAAGCUCCCAACUUUCAUAUCACUACGUGGAAUGUAGACGGAUUAAGAAGCUGGUUAAAGAAGGGAUGCCUUGAUAUCUUGAAGUAUGACAAACCAGAUAUACUUUGUAUUCAAGAGACUAAGUGCGCUGUAUAUAAAUUACCAGAAGAAGUCAAGACUAUAGAAGGUUACGAAGGCUGCUGACUUUUCCGAUUUGUGAAUUUUUAGAAGACAAUAAAAGUUUAGGAACAAUUGAAUUUAGUAUGAUUUUUGUGAAAUCUCGUAAAAUACUUGUUGAAACAAUAAAAAAGGCAAUAAUUAUUUAUGUUGACCUAAACCACAGUUGUCCAACUUUUUUUCUAGUUUUUAGAACGUGUUUACACCAAGGAUUAUACUAACCGCUUGAAAAAAGGCGAAAUAUUGUCAUAAUCAAAUAAAUUCAGUGGUUUUCCGCUACUUUUAGCCACAUUUCGCGAACUUUUUAGUACAAAAUUUUUGAACUAAUUUAAUAAUUUUUCUCCUCAAUCUGAGUUAUAUAUUAUUCGUCAAUAAUUUGUUGAUCCGAAUUGUUUUGGAACAACAGGUCUUCUAAGUAGAUUUUUGACUUAUGUUCAGAUUUUUCUUAAUUUUUAGAAGGCGCUUAUACUAAGGAUUAAGUAAAAGUCCUUGGCCUUCAUUUUUGACAUAUGUUCAGAUUUUUCUUAAUUUUUAGAAUGCCCUUAUACUAAGGAUUAAGUAAAAGUCCGUGGCCUUCUUACUCGAAAAUACAAAAACCCUUCAUUUUAAACAUUAAUUUUAUUUUUGCUUACGUUGCGCAUUAGAUUUAUAUUUUAAUUUAUAAAAAAAAUAAAUAAACAAAAAAUAACAAUAAAAAACAGAGUUGAUUUAACAUUGUGUCAAUUCGUAAUAAAAUACAGCCACAUUUUUUGGUUCUUCGAGCCGGAUAUCUUACGAUUUGUCAUUGAAAUUGACAUUUGUCAUUGACAAUGCUUUGUUUAUGAUUAACUGUGGACUGUAUUUUAUGAUGAAUUGAUGCAUUGUUCAAUCAAACUAUUUUUUUUUUAACUGAUAAUGUUACUACAAGAUGGUAUCAUUUUAUAAAUGAAAAUAUAAGUCGAGUGAGCAACACAUUUUUGAGGAAACUCUUCCAAAUACUGGCGUUUUUGCCUGAUAAACUUGAUAGAACGUUCGAAAAAAAUUAUUCACCUUUAAACACAAAAAAAGGCAAACAUAACACAAUUUUCGAAUACUUUUCGGUGUAUUUUUGCCGAUAUUUUUCAAAACAUUUGCCUGACAGGGCCAAAAACAUGCUAAAUCCCUUGUAAAAAGGUAAAAUGAUGCCAUGAUCAUUUGAUCAAACAAAUUUAGUUGUUUUUUGUCAGUUUUAGCAAAAUCUCGCGGUUUUUUUUAAUAAAAACGUCUUUAUUUUUCGCUUAAGGAAAGAGAAAAAAGUAUUCUAUUUUUGAAUUAAUGUAAUAAUAAUUUUUCGCCUCAUUCUGAUUGUAUGCUUCACAAUUUUUAUUUAAAGUAUUUUUCCUAGCUCUUACUUAAAUAUUUUGAACAAUCUUGAACAACCUUCUCACGGGUUGAUGCAACGUUUUUUACAGUAAUUUGUUUCAAAAUUUCAAAUAUCUCCUCCAAAUUUUAAUUUAAAGGCUUACGCGUAUUUGAAUCGACCAAGUCUCAAAUAUUUUAUUUAAAAGCUUUUGUAUGAGAGAUUUAUCGAAGAUGUGACGUAAAGAAUAAUGUAUUUGGUACAUUUCUCUUAAAUUAGUUUGUAUGUUACUAUCGUCUUAAGUUAACCAAAGGCAUUGUUUUUGUUUUUUAAAUAAAAGUUUGAUGUGUCGGGUUUGUAUCGAAUUUAUAUUCAUUAUUUUCACACCAACGAUCGAACAGUAAGUAAUUCAUUCGCAUUUAUUAACAGGUCGAAAUUUAGUCACCUUGCCAAAACGUUUAGAUUGGAACGAACAAUUCGAGAAGUUUAUUAAAAAUUUGGACUCCCAAAAACCAGUCAUAAUUUGUGGGGAUAUGAACGUGGCACACAAAGAGAUUGACUUGGCUAAUCCCAAAACCAACACCAAUAGUGCUGGGUUUUCAGUGGAGGAACGUGACGGCAUGACUGCUUUUCUUGGAAACGGUUAUGUUGAUAUUUAUCGCCACUUAUAUCCCGAGAAGGAAAAAGCUUACACUUUCUGGAUCUACAUGAGAAAUGCCAGACCUAACAACGUUGGAUGGCGCUUGGAUUAUUUCUUAGUCUCCCAAAGAUUUGUGGACAACGUUUGCGAUAACAUAAUACAUAGUGAUGUUAUGGGGUCAGACCAUUGCCCCCUUUCACUCCACAUCCAGAUUUAAGUGUUUGGGCCAACUCUCUGUCUUGUAGUGCCCCAACUUCUUUCAAUAAUUGUUUCUUCUCUUCAAAAUAGUUUUUGAACCACUCGAUAUGUUCCCGUUUGGCGUCAACUGUCAAGUAUGGAUUUUUCGAAAGUCCGACACAGACCAACUCCAUGAAAUGCCUCAAGGGCCCCUUUUGAGGACACCAAGGCUCUAAAUACUUCUCAAGAAACACGUGCUCGGUAAAGUAAACUUUCUUUUCCUCAUCAAGCCCUAAAAUUAUAAAUAUGACACGAUACUUAACAAAUUAGGCGCAACCUUGUUCGUUAUCAAUGGGAAAUUUCCAUAUUUUCCCCUGUUCGGUCCACAAGAUCAUCUGUUGGAAAUAAUUGCUAGGAGGGUGAGUAACAGCCAGCUUUAAAUCCCUCUGGUAUAACUCGUUCCAAGUUUUGUUUUCAACGCCCUAAACACUAAAUUAGACGCUUUGCCCUCUUCAGACGUCUUUAAAAGCUUCAUCAAUAAUUCUGUCUCGGUUUGCUUCACAUCUCCUCCCAACGUCUCUGCUACGUCCUUUACAACUCUGGUCAUUUGUGUCUCUGCAACAAAAUUGUUUUUGCAACAAACCAGAAGUUUUUAAUUCUGUUCACCACUAAGUUUUUUCAAAACAGCAUACUCAGAUUGAUUUCUUAUAGAAACUUCUCUUAUUUUUUUCUUUUUGAAUUCAAAUUGAAAUAUUCAAAUAUUUGAUCUUCAUGCGCCUUUUAUACUUUGUUGACAACUUUAUUGAAGAGGAUGUUAAUAAUUACUUUUUCUGUUUGUGCUAAUGCGACAUUCUCGUUUCUAUUUUUUCGACCAAACCCGGAGCCGCUCCGGGCAACGGUUCCGGCUACAGAGGCGAUCAAAGUUUUUCACUAAAAAAAUUCAUAAAAAAAAAACUAAAAGUCGUAGAGCAUUGCGGUUUGUUCGAUUGAAUUCUACGGCUCAUUUUACAUAUUAUAUCGAUUUUUCACAAGAAUUAGAAAUUUAAAAUUUUUUGCCUAAAUUUAGGGUGGCCAUUUGUCUUAGUGAAAAAUUUUAUUCAUUAAAAAAAUUCAUAACUCGAAUAAAAGUCGUAGAGCAGUGCGGUUUGUUCCGUUGGAUUCAGCGGCUUUUUUUCUCUAUUAUACUAAUUUUUCACGCAAUUUAAAAUUUUCAAUUUUUUUGCUCAAAUUUCACCUUCAAAGAGGUGAAAAAAAAUAUUUUUUUUAAACUCACUCCAGUAGAUUUUUAUGGACUCUACAUGUCUUAACAACCCACAAAAGUUGUUAGAAGUCCACAAAAAGUCCAUAUGUUCGAUUUUUUGAUGUUUGAUUUUUUCAAUUUUCGUCGCAGUUUUUGUCGAUUUUGGGUACCCGGAACAUUUCUCGAGCAAUAGCUCCGGAACUAUUCGAGAUAACCCCAUGAAGUGUAGCAUCGUUGGAAAGCCCUUUUAAUGAUCUAUCAUUUGCAAAAAAGAUUAUUGUUGUCCGACUUAUAGUUUUCGAGAGAAUGCAAAUAAAAGCGAAAAUUAGAUCAUAUACUCAAAAAUUCAUAACUAAAAAACUAUUAGGAAUUUGGCAAUUUUCUUGAUGCCAAUCGAUUCCCCGGAUCAUUUUGCAUAGGUAUGGAUCAAAAUAGUUCCACUUUUUAGAAUAGUUUAGCCGUAAAUGAGAAAAUAAAAAAAAUAAAAAAAAUUUUACACCCCCCCGUUAGAAAUUUUUAAAAAUUUUUAAAGUGUCUCAAAAUCAAAUGAAACCGAUUCUAUCUUAUAGAUUUUGAUGUGCUCUUUCCGAUCUAAAAAAGCGUUUUCUUCUAGCUUUUUUAAUUUGGGCGUAAUCGGCGUUUGAAAAUUGAAAAUUUUUUUGGCGAGAAAUCGCUUUGAGUCCUAUGCCAUUUUGUAGAGUUUUUUAUUCCGGUUAUUCUCCAUUUUUCCGUUUCUCGAUAACUCUAAUAGUUUCGCCGUAAUUUUUUUUUCACCUCUUUGAAGGUAAGGGUAUUACUCAGGAAAUUUUAGCAAAAAAACUGAAAAUUUUAAAUCUCGUGAAAAGUUGGUAUAACACAGAAAAUGAGCCGCUGAAUUCAAUGGAACAAACCGCAUUGCUCUACGACUUUUAGUUUUCGAGUUAUGAAUUUUUUUGUUGAAUAAAACUUUUCACAAAAAAUUUUAAAUUUUUAAUUUUUGUGAAAAAUUGAUAUAAUAUGUAGAAUGAGCUGUAGAAUUCAAUGGAACAAACCGCAGUGCUCUACAACUUUUAGUUUUUUUUUUUUGAAUUUUUUUAAUGAAAAUCCAAAUCUGCCAGAAUCAGAUCACUACGACUAACCGUUCAGAAGAUAUCGGCAAAAAUAGAGAAAACUUUACAAAUUGAUUCAACUAAAUUUUUAUCAUUGACAAGCAAUUUUUUGGAGUUAUUUUCUUAUGAUUAAGUGUUUCUAACGUAGAAUGACCGGCGGAAUCUAAAUCUGCAAGAAUCGGAUCACUACGACUAACCUUUCAGAAGAUAUCGGGAAAAAUAUAGAAAACUUUACAAAUUGAUUCAACAAAAUUUUCAUCAUUGACAAGCAAUUUUUUGGAGUUAUUUUCUUAUGAUUAAGUGUUUCUAACGUAGAAUGACCGGCGGAAUCUAAAUCUGCAAGAAUCGGAUCACUACGACUAACCUUUCAGAAGAUAUCGGGAAAAAUAUAGAAAACUUUACAAAUUGAUUCAACAAAAUUUUCAUCAUUGACAAGCAAUUUUUUGGAGUUAUUUUCUUAUGAUUAAGUGUAAGAUGAUGAAGAUGAUGGUUGUGGUGUUUCUUGUCGUUUCUCACGUAUGUUUUCGUUUAUAUACUGCAUUCGUUUUGGAUUAACAAUAAACGCACGUGGUACGUUGAUUUUAGAUAAAAUUUGUGAAAAAUUUUUCCAACCAGUCGGUUCAGCAGACAGUCUACUACUACUAGUACCACUUUUCAUAAGGUCAAUGAUUAUAAUUAAUUAUAUUUGAAUCAGGAAUUGUUUUACCGUCGUAAAUAACGUUACCAACUUCGUUCCAUGCAACACCAUUGCUUGUUAUAUAAUCAACUAAAACACUAGCCUUAGCUUGUAAAGUUUUCGGUAACGAUUUUAGAAAAUUUUUGUUAAGAUGAUCGGCUGCUAUUAACUUAUUAUUUUCAACAUCAACAUUUUCUUUUUCACCUGUUUCAAUCAUUGGUAUUGUUACAGGUUCACGAAAUCGAUUUAUCACUUUUAAAUAUCUUUGAAGAACUUGAUUGUACAACGUCCAUUUCUCGUUGUCGUCAAUGUGUUUCAGUUCUAUAAUUCUUCACAUUUCACGAUCCAAAUCAUUUAUGAUGUUUGGUUGAUUGCUGGUACCACUUUGCAUACGUUCAAAUACACCUGGAUCAACCAUUAUCAUUUUCUUAGCAUGCUCCAUUAUCGUUAUUUACGAAAUAAAUGACCCAAUACACCCGAUAUUAUUGGCGCUAACAAUAACGGUAAGAAGGCACCACCUUUUUGAACAAUCAACUUUUUCUUUUGCUGAACAGACAAUUUUCGAUUAACUAAAUCCCUCAACACUUUUUUAUGUUUUUUUAGUUUACUUUUUUGUACGAUUCAAUGGAACUUUACCCAACAAAGUAUUAUGAGCGCAUUCACAAAUACAAUGAACCAGAUUUUUGUCCGCUGUAUUUAAAAUUGAUUUACGAUAUUCAGGUGUUGUUUUAUGUAAGAAUUUUAAAAGAUCAGCGUUUCUUGCUAACGUUCGCGACAUCUCAAAUACAACUGAGAAAUGAAUAACACGUUUUUUAAAUUUAUACUUUUUUCAUACGUCUCUUAGGUAUAUAUGCAAAAGUAGGUGAUUCAUCGGGUAAAAUGUUUGUACGAAUACGAUAAUCAUCGGACGUAUCCUGUUUUAAAUCGAUUAACAAAUAUCCAUGCGGUUUCAUAGUCGCAUCCUUAUAAGCUUCUUGAAGAAAUUUUGUAUUUUCUGGAAAAAUCUGUCGGGCUAAAAAAUUGACUUGAGCCUUGUCACGGGGGUUUUUGAAAUAUAUAAUGUAGUUUGCAUUCAGUGAAAUGUCUCUCUGUCCUUUGCCUUGGUGGAACAGAUUUUGCGUAAUAUAAAAAACACUAAGAUUUCGAUGAUGGCUACCUUUUGUAAAUAUAUCCACAACACCACCAUUUGUUUCACGCAUUAAAUCAUCCAAAAUUAUUAACGUCGGCUUUAAACCAUCAAAUUCAGUCAUAUCAGGCAUACCUUGACGAUACUCGAUUCUUAAAUUACUAACAAUAUCAUUUUUUUCAUAUAACGGUUGCCAUUCAUCAUAAUACUAUAUCACACGAUCAAAACUUGUAUCACACAUUGAUUUCAAAUGAUUUAAGAACUGCGUUAUAAAAUGUGUUUUUCCACAACCUGAAGGGCAGUGACAAUAGCCGUGAACGGUGCUUUAAAACUAAAAAUGUUUCCGUACUUCAAUGUUUAUAUACAUUACGUAUAUAUAGAAGGUCUUCACGGAUCAAUUUAAGUACAUUUAUUUAUAUUUUUUUUAUUUAAAUUUCGUACCGAUGUUUGAAAAGCAUCCCAAACGAUAUAGCGACAAAAGGAUUAUAGGAUUUGCAGCGACAAUUAGUAACCUAGACAGUCGUCUGUCUGGCUGUUUUGAUGAAAGAAAAGAUGAUUCACCGAACCAUUAGAAAUCUUUCUCUCAAAUUUCAUCCCCUACCAACAUCACCACCACCACCACCACUACCACCUUCAAACCCUUUUUUCCUCAUUUUCAAAGCUGACUUUCGGCGACACAAGUACCUAUACAUUUUUACGUGCCAAGUGUUAAAUUGUGUGACAAAUGUUUGAUGGACAAUGUGUAAUCCUGUACUCCAGAGGGGAGUACCGUCUAACAUUUAGGCGGUUCACCACGUAUAGAGCGUUACAGGAGGAGAAUAUCCUCUGCAAGUGGUGCGCCAGGCUAGAAGAAAAAGUCUGGUACAAACAUAUGCACAUUUAUAAUGUAACACUCAAGUGUACGCGGUGUGAAACACCUAUAUUACCCCGGACACAUAUGGGGUGUCCUAGACGGAUACAUUUAGGGCGGGAAAAGGUACCCUAUAAUUCCCUUUUACGGAAAAUUGUGUUCCCGGAAUCGGACGAUGACCAGUCUGAAGAAGAAAGCGGCGUCGAGGAUGUAGAAUGAUUGUGUGGGCGAUUCUUAAAUAUAUGUUUAUUUUUAAUAACGUUUUUAUUGAACCUCUAAUAACAAGAUAAAGCUGAUGUGUGAUUAAUUUUCCGUUAAUUUGUAACUAAUUUUGAUAUAUUUUAAUUUUUUAUUGAAACCUAGGUGUAAUUCCCCGCUUAGCGACACAUUCAAAUUUACCGCUAAAAAAAAAGUGAUUUCGAAAUUGAACACUAGAUGGCGCAGAGAUCUGUCACAUUUAAAUUUCCCGCUGAAAAACUUAAACACCAGAGGGCGCCGAGAUCUGUCACAUUUAAAUUUCCCGCUAAAAUGUUUGAACACCAGAGGGCGCCAGAAAAAGUUGAUGAUCCAAUUAAUUCGUCAUUAAUUAAUUAUCGAAGGUCAAUUAAAAGAGAAAGUUUGAUAUCAAAUUUCAAUUAAAUUAAUCGGUCGUUAUCAAUUUAAUUGUCAUUAAUUAUCAAUUAAUAUGUCAUUAAUUAGUCAUUAAUUCACUAAUUAAUUUUUAAAUGGGUCCCCCUUUCUACUUUUGGAGUUCACCAUUUCCGGUUCCGAUGUGGUUGGCUUGGGCGUCGCUGGUAUCGGUGAGGUCAAUUCCGCCGGAGGCGGAAUUCUGAUGAGCGGAACUCUUUUUGGUUUUCGGAUUUUCGUCCGAUCCCCGAUGGCAUCAAAAGUGCGCUUUGUAGGCACAGUUUUGUGAGGGAGUUUUGGCCUGGACCUCACUUUGAAAAUGGUUUGGUUCGUUUUGAGAAAAACGCUUUUUCACGCAAGGUGGAGCGCACAACUAGCACAAGUACAAGUCGCAAAGGGUUGUCGCUAAUCUGAACAGUGAAAUUGGCAUGGUUGGACGUAUUACGGUAAAUAAUGUCCGACUCAGAAACGACCCCCAGCGAUUGUAACAGCCCCCAAAUUCAAGAACUGAACAACUUGCGGCACCUCCUCAAAUUACAACGCGACAGGUACACCCAUCUCCAAAUACUAUACCAAGCUGUGGCCGAUUUUAUAUCCACUGCUGGUGCCUUGAACCCUGAACUUGCAACCAAAGUGGAAAAUAUUUUACAUGAGCAAAGUUGCCAGCAAGUUGAUGUGUUAGACAAUGAAUACACACAGUUACUAGGAUUACGAUCUUCAGGAAACAUGUCAGGCCUGAAGAUAACACGUUGGUGGUGUUGAAGAAAAAACUGGAGGAGCAACAGCAAAAGUAUUUAGAAAAUGAAUUAACUAAAGAGAAGAUUUUGGAAGAUAUUGCUAAACUACGACUGGAAAAAUUACCAAAAGUGUGUGAUGAAAAAAUAAAAGAAUGUCAAAUAAGGGCCCAAGUGGGCGAACUAAGAACGAAACUUGCGUGCGAGACUUCCAGAAUUGACGUAUUUAUGGAGAGAAGCAACUCGUUGAAAGCCUACAAGGAGCUGCUAAAGGAUAUAAAGGAGCAACAACUUGAAUGUGAGAGCGAGAUUAAACACUUGCAAAAGAUGAGGGAGAAGUACAAACAAGUGGCCUGCAAGCAGUUUGAUCAGAUUUUGAAGUCCUACGUGGAAUACAAAGCCGCGCUUUCAAGAAAGCCUAAAACUUCCAAGAGGGAACAACCACCAGCUGAACCAGCUGAAGGUGAAAACGAGACAACCGAAAAAAAAAUUACAAAACGCAAUAAAGCAGAAGUGAGUAUAUGUUGCCACCAAGUCUUUUUUGUUUUAUGAAGUGUAUUUUAG